rnacentral:rRNA from 1 species
GAUGAACGCUGACGGCGUGCCUAAUACAUGCAAGUCGAGCGAACGGACGAGAAGCUUGCUUCUCUGAUGUUAGCGGCGGACGGGUGAGUAACACGUGGAUAACCUACCUAUAAGACUGGGAUAACUUCGGGAACCGGAGCUAAUACCGGAUAAUAUUUUGAACCGCAUGGUUCAAAAGUGAAAGACGGUCUUGCUGUCACUUAUAGAUGGAUCCGCGCUGCAUUAGCUAGUUGGUAAGGUAACGGCUUACCAAGGCAACGAUGCAUAGCCGACCUGAGAGGGUGAUCGGCCACACUGGAACUGAGACACGGUCCAGACUCCUACGGGAGGCAGCAGUAGGGAAUCUUCCGCAAUGGGCGAAAGCCUGACGGAGCAACGCCGCGUGAGUGAUGAAGGUCUUCGGAUCGUAAAACUCUGUUAUUAGGGAAGAACAUAUGUGUAAGUAACUGUGCACAUCUUGACGGUACCUAAUCAGAAAGCCACGGCUAACUACGUG